GGGGAUGAUCGGCCUAGACAUCUGAUCUGUCCUUGAUUGUGCAAAGUAGAGCAUUAUUGUUCACUCUUUAAAUGACAAUAAACAAACAACUGCUAAUAGCAUUGUUUCAAGAGUAAAGGGACUUGUCUCUCCAUAUUUUGGAGCCAAGGAUCUUGCUUUCGCUUACGCAUUAGCCUAAGCGGCAUCCAAUUCAUCCAUAUCUAAUAAAUGAAUUUGGGUGACAUAAAAUUAGAGUAUAUUACUAGAGUGCCUCGACUAGUAAUGAAAUAAGAGACUAGGUUAAUAAUCAUUUUGUUAAUUCUAAAAUUAUUAACUCAAAUCUGUCUCACGACAGAAAUAAAUUAACUAAACUUUGUAAAAGCAAUUAGGAUACUCUUAUGCACCCGGGUUCGAUUCCCGGCAUCUCCACUC
rnacentral:tmRNA from 1 species